rnacentral:misc_RNA from 1 species
AGGAAAAGAAAGAAAGAAAGAAAGGAAGUAAUUAGAAAAAAAAAGAAAAGAAAGAGGGAGGACUAAUAGAUAAUUUUUCAGAACCAAUUGGAGAACAAGGGCAAAAGAGAGGCUGAAUUACAAAUUAGAAAAAAGAAAUUAAAAGGGAAAGGAUAGGAAGAUUCGAGAAGUGGGGAAGAAGGGACAAUAGGGCUUGCAGCUCUAGUGACUCAACCAAAAAAAGAAAAAAUUUGGAUCAUUCUCUCCAUCUCCACCCAUUCCUCCUCACAGUAGUCUCUCACCAUGGUGGAAACUUAGUUGUCUCUCUUUACCACAGCAAAUCAGUUCAUGAAAAGAAGUGAGAGAAGAAUUGCAGAGGUGAGUAGUAACCCAAAGCCCAAUAAUUCCGAUAAAAAAAAAAAUCCAUCUUUGGCCAAAAUUUUCAACCGUCCAGCUCUUAGAAAGAAAGCCAAAUUAAUUUGCUUACCUUGAUGAUCUUGUAUUGUUUUUCUUUUCACCACGAGCGUUGUAUUGAAUGAAGGAGGAGAACGGAAUCGCCCUUGUAGCUGUCAACUCUUGUUUCUAGUUUUUGGCUUCAACGAAUUAACCAUACCUUCCUUUAUCUCCUCUAGAAACCUAAUACUGCAUACCCAUCGAUUCAGUUGAGAAUUGAAAGGGGAGAUAUAGAUUGAAGAGCUUAAGAGUGAUGAUUCACUCAACACUAGCAGAACUUAUGCACUUGCAAAUUGCCAUGGAGAUCACUUGAGUAUACUUUACCAGCCACUAACUCCAACAGACUGCUUUGACACUAGAAAGCGGGGUGCACGCUUCCACAAUUCCAAGUAUACACAUGAGACGGGUAAAUAGGUCCAAAUUCUUCAUAUUUGCAGGUAUUGAUGCUUAGCCUUCAAUUAGAUUUUGGGUAAGGUAAGCAAUCAAUAUCCAGCUUAUUUUUCUAAGUACAGCAAGUGCGAACUUCUUGCUUUGUUAGUUUGAUUUUCAGUCCUUAAUAUGAACAAAGGAAAUGAAUUCCUCAAUAUUAAAUAAGAAUAAAAUUUGAAUGGCAAAAUGAAGAGUUAAAAUUUAUGCUGUGAAACUAUUAUAUGUUGAUAAUAUGUGUGGUUCAAUGUUUUGAGGGAGCAGAAAAAAAAAUGAAGUGAAACUAAAGUAGCUCAAAGAAAAGAUAAUUGCUACCUCUAUAGUCCUGAGGCAGUCUGCACCGCUGAUUUCUAAUAUGUCUUAAACACUCAAUCCUUGGUGAACCAGAGUUUCAUGUGUUUUUGGCAUUG